GUAAGUUUUUGAUUCGCAACGUAGUUCUUUUUUCUCAUGGAUAUUGUCUUUUUCAGAACUCAGCUCGAGCCCAUUAUACUUUGAAAAUGCUCCAGGGUCGCCGCCACCGAUAUCUUACACGCCUGUACCAGGACCAACGCCUGAAU